UACGAAGGGGGCUAGCGUUGCUCGGAAUGACUGGGCGUAAAGGGCGCGUAGGCGGUUGACACAGUCAGGUGUGAAAUUCCCGGGCUUAACCUGGGGGCUGCAUUUGAGACGUGUUGACUAGAGUGUGAGAGAGGGUUGUGGAAUUCUCAGUGUAGAGGUGAAAUUCGUAGAUAUUGGGAAGAACACCGGUGGCGAAGGCGGCAACCUGGCUCAUAACUGACGCUGAGGCGCGAAAGCGUGGGGAGCAAAC
rnacentral:rRNA from 1 species